rnacentral:rRNA from 1 species
GUAGGGUGCGAGCGUUAAUCGGAAUUACUGGGCGUAAAGCGUGCGCAGGCGGUUUUGUAAGCCAGAUGUGAAAUCCCCGGGCUUAACCUGGGAAUGGCAUUUGGGACUGCAAGGCUGGAGUUUGGCAGAGGAGACUGGAAUUCCUGGUGUAGCAGUGAAAUGCGUAGAUAUCAGGAGGAAUACCGGUGGCGAAGGCGGCAUCCUGGACCGACAUUGACGCUGAGGAGCGAAAGCUAGGGGAGCAAACGGGAUUAGAUACCCCGGUAGUCCUAGCCCUAAACGAUGAAUGCUUGGUGUGGCGGGUAUCGAUCCCUGCCGUGCCGAAGCUAACGCAUUAAGCAUUCCGCCUGGGGAGUACGGUCGCAAGGCUG